GGUGCUGGUAAUUGAAGUCUUUUGCCUUUCACAUUUCUUCUGAAACAAAGAAGGUAAUCAAUUUGCUUGACAUCCCAUCAUUUUAAUCAUUAUCUAUGUAGUAAGUGUGUUGUGUGUAAAAUUUCAAUCAGCAUAUUGGAAAAUUUUGUCCAAUUUGUCAAUAUAUUGAUAGCGAGAAAUUUGUGGAUUACUAAUCAUUCUGCCAAUGAUUAUGAUCCAUUCCACUGGAUUUGGGGUGAGAUGGCAGGGAACUGAUGUGACUAGUAAUUGAUUAACUGCUAAAGAUGGUUAAUGGGUGCAUGCACAUGCAUAUAAUAAUGAAUGUUCUCAUGUGCUUCAUAUUUUUCUCAGAAAUGAGACCUGCAGAAUUGUUCUUUCAAAUGCAUUUACUUGCAAGUCAAUCAGAAGCUCGAGUUGAUUCUUCAUCCAAUGUAGAAUUCUGUCAAAGCCCACAGAAAUGGGUUCUUCGGUCUAUUCAUACAA
rnacentral:misc_RNA from 1 species